rnacentral:rRNA from 1 species
GACAGAGGUGCCAAGCGUUAGGCGGAAUCACUGGGCUUAAAGCGUGUGUAGGCGGGUCGUUAAGUACCUUGUGAAAUCCCACGGCUCAACCGUGGAACUGCUCGGUAUACUGGCGAUCUUGGGCCGCUUAGGGGCUAGCGGAACAAACGGUGGAGCGGUGAAAUGCGUAGAUAUCAGGAGGAACACCGGUGGUGUAGACGGCUUUCUGGACCGUAACUGACGCUGAGACACGAAAGCGUGGGUAGCAAACAGG